GGACGGUGGGAAAAAAAGUAUUUGUGGACUUGGGGUUUUAUAGAGCGCAUUAUGAAAGAACUGUCAACAUAAUGCCCUAUGAAAUCCUAAAUGCACAAAGAGCAUUGUCAUCUAGUCGACA
rnacentral:precursor_RNA from 14 species